CCUACGCGGCGCUGCAGUGAGGAAUAUUGGUCAAUGGACGCAAGUCUGAACCAGCCAUGCCGCGUGCAGGAAGACGGCUCUAUGAGGUGUAAACUGCUUUUGUACGAGGGUAAACGCAGAUACGCGUAUCUGUCUGAAAGUAUCGUACGAAUAAGGAUCGGCUAACUCCGUGCCAGAAGCCGCGGUCAUACGGAGGAUUCAAGCGUUAUACGGAUUUAUUGGGUUGAAAGGGUGCGUAGGCGGUCGGAUAAGUUAGAGGUGAAAUCCCGAGGUUCAACUUCGGAAUUGCCUCUGAUACUGUUCGGCUAGAGAGUAGUUGCGGUAGGCGGAAUGUAUGGUGUAGCGGUGAAAUGCUUAGAGAUCAUACAGAACACCGAUUGCGAAGGCAGCUUACCAAGCUACUUCUGACGUUGAGGCACGAAAGCGUGGGGAGCAAACAGGAUUAGAUACCCGUGUAGUC
rnacentral:rRNA from 1 species